rnacentral:tmRNA from 1 species
GGGGAUGAUCGGUUUCGACAUUGCUGUGCUUCUGCGUGAAGCGGGCCGAGGAUGCGGGGUUAUCUCGUUAACGCCCUCCGCAAAACACAGGUGCCAAUGCUAAGCGCACCGACUUCGCUCUCGCUGCCUAAGCGAGCCCGAUAGUCCGUCGGCCCGGGGUCGCUCUCGCCCCGGUCACCGGCGUCAUUUCGAGAGCUUGCCGCGCCGCUGCGUCUCAGGGCGGCGCGGGACACGAACUGGGACUGGGCCCGUCGGCCAGAGCGCCUGACCUUAUGACCGGGGCCGAGCAGAACGAAAGCCAGGCUGCGCCCGGAGAAGCCGCGGAUUUGCAGCAGUGGACGGGGGUUCGAUUCCCCCCAUCUCCACGA